UGGCGGGUCUGGGCACGCACCGGGCAGGGCCUUUGCCGGGUCCCGGGGCGUGACAGAUUAUUUUGGUAUCAGAGCCUAGGGUUGAGUCUUAGUGGACCUAGCGAACCUUAGGCUGGUCGGACUAUAGGAAUUAGACUCGUGAGAGACGAGGUCUAUUUGAUUUAUGAGCGAAAGUAUCAUGAUUGGGUUUCUUUGAUAACUUCAAAAAGUUGGAGUUCGAUCGAAGUGUAUGGCUUCUAACUCCGCGGAGGGUUACGUUGGCGGCCGACAACGUAACAUCGGGAAUUAGUAGCUGGGACACUUCUUUACUUUCGCAUGAUCUGGGGUAUUGUUAUUUGAGCGGGGUUGCGAUAGCGUGUGUUAUAUUAACUUGCGCUUUUAUGAUGAUGUAGUGUUGAUGCC
rnacentral:lncRNA from 1 species